rnacentral:lncRNA from 1 species
AUAUAUAGAGAGAUGGAAACCAAGUAGCUGACACAUUGGCUAAUCAUGGUUUAUCUCUUGAUUCUAUUCACUUUUGGAAUGAUGUACCAGAAUUCACUAGGGAUAGUUACAUUAGGAUUAAAGAUGGCUGGUCCAAUUUCAGAUUUUCUUAUUAGUUUGGGAGUGUCGGCCUAGUUCCCUCCCUUUUGUAUUUAUGUUCUCUUUUUAAUGAAUUUUAGGUUGGUUUGCAUCUUUGCAUCCAGC